GUUGUGGACGAAGGUGUCUUUGAAGGACUACAAUUCCCGAGAUGCUUGACAGCCAGCGAAGGGAGUUGUAGGGAAAUGUAGUUCUGGUCGCCUCCUUCCCAAACCCUCACCCAGGGGAAGACAGCGGGUUGGGAAGAGGAGACCGCCUGGGUGACCUAGACGUGUAACUGUCUUUUCAUGCUCACCCACUGCGCUGUUUCAAAUACAGUGAGCCUGGGGGUGUAGCCCUGCAGUGGAGCCUGUGCUUAGCAUGCGGGAGGCGCUGGGUUCGUCCCCGCACUGAAAAAAAAAUGCAACCAACGUUGUUUCCUUGUGGGAGACAGGUCUCUCUGCAGAGCUGAGUAGACUCUGGCCCAAACGUCAAGGCGACAAAGGAGAUCAACCCAAAAUGAAGACAGAGAUGUCAAGCCUUCAUCUUGACCUCAGCAGACAUCAGCAGGCCCCAGCGAGGAGUCAGUGUUUUCAGAAAAAGUGACCUCCAGGUCCCUGAAGAGUAACCUAGACAACCGUUAGCAUCAUGACCCCCAAGUCAGAGGUGUGAUCUCGGGCCAAGCCAGUGGCAGACUGAUGGUGGAUGCCCACGUGACCUCCCAAAGCAGUGAUUUUAAAGUAAAUUAAUGCAAGUGAAAUGAGACAGUUUAUUUAGGCUUUUCCUCAGUAACACGACCUCGGUUGACCUCCCCACAGGACACAGGAGUGUCCUCAUGUAGCAGCUGCUUUGGGGAGGGGCGAGGGGGGGGAAGUGAUCAAGAGAGGGCAAGUGGGGAACUGCAGUGUCCUCUAUGACCUUGACUCAGAUGUCACGCCCUAUCCUUUCUGAAGUACAGAUCAGCCCUGUGGGAUGCCAGAGGAAACAGGAGUACCCGUGAGAAUCACUGGGUCCAUCUUAGAAACUGGCUUUCAUCAUUAUCUAGAGCAGGGCUGCCUGUUUUAAUGAAGAGUUAGGGACAGCUAGCAAUGGAUUCUGUCCUUCCUCUCUUCCUCUGUCUUUCCCAAGGCUGGGGAUUGACUGAGGGCCUUGUGCUCCAUAGGCAAGUCAUCUAUCACUGAGCCACACCCCAGCCCCUAACUUUUCUUCUCUCCAACUUUUUUGGGGGGGGCCAGGGGUGGGAUGAGGACUAGGGAUUAAACCUAGGGGUACUUUACUACUGAGCUAAGGCCUCAGACUUUCUAAAUUUUUUUAUUUUGAGACAGGGUCUCACUAAAUUGCUAAGGGUCGAGUUAAAUUGAACUUGCAAUCCUCCUGCGUAGCUGGGAUUACAGAUGUGUGCCACGGUACCCGGUUUGCUUUCUCAAACUUUCUAAUUAGAUCAUAUCUACUUGAAAAUGUAAUAGUAGUACAGAGAACUCCAAUAUAUCAUUCACCUGGAUGCACCAAUUGUUGACAUUUGAUACAUUUACUCUCUGCGUGUA